rnacentral:rRNA from 1 species
CCUACGGGUGGCAGCAGUGAGGAAUAUUGGUCAAUGGACGUAAGCCUGAACCAGCCAAGUCGCGUGAGGGAUGAAUGUUCUAUGGAUCGUAAACUUCUUUUAUAAGGGAAUAAAGCGCGGGACGUGUGCCUUUUUGUAUGUACCUUAUGAAUAAGGAUCGGCUAACUCCGUGCCAGCAGCCGCGGUAAUACGGAGGAUCCGAGCGUUAUCCGGAUUUAUUGGGUUUAAAGGGUGCGUAGGUGGGCUGUUAAGUCAGCGGUGAAAGUUUGUGGCUCAACCAUAGAAUUGCCGUUGAUACUGGGAGGCUUGAGUACGGUUGAGGCAGGCGGAAUGCGUGGUGUAGCGGUGAAAUGCUUAGAUAUCACGCAGAACCCCGAUUGCGAAGGCAGCUUACUAAGCCAUGACUGACACUGAUGCACGAAAGCGUGGGGAUCAAACAGGAUUAGAUACCCGAGUAGUC